UAUUAAUAAAAUUGUUUUAGUAUGUUUUUUGUUUUAAUUGAUUUUAAUUAAGUAAAUUUAAGUUAUUGUAAAAUAAAUUGAUUAGAUUAUUUUUACUAUAGUGAAUUAGUACUGUAAAGGAAUUUUAUAAUUAUAUGUUUAUAAUUAAUAAAAAGGUAAUUUUAUUUAUUGUAUCUUGUGUAUCAGAGUAUAUUUAAGUGGAUUAUAAAUUUUUUUUCUCGAAUUUAAAAGAUUUAAUUAAAAAUAUUAGUUAUUGUUGUAUAAUUAUUAAUAAUUUUUAAUUGGUAAUGAAAUGUUAUUCGUUUUUAAGGAUAUCUAGUUUUUUAAUAAAUGAAUUUAAUUCAGAAAAUACAAUUUAUUGAAUAAUUUAUUAUUUGAAUAUUUUAUGUUUUUAAUUUUAAGAGGGAUAAACUUUUUAAAAUAUAAUUAUAAUAAUAUUAUAUGGGAAGGAUUUUAUAAAUUUAGAAUUUGUUAAUGAUUAAAGGAUGUUAAAAUUUAAUUCUUGAUUUAAGUAAUUUUAAAUUUUUAUUUAAUUUUUAUAUUAAAAUAUUGGAUUUAAUUGAGAAAUUUUAGAGAAUAUGAUUUAAUUAGUAAAAUUUUAAUUUAUUUUGUUAGAUUAAUUGAUGUGUUAAUAUGAAGAAUUAGGCAAAAAUUUUGCUCACCUGUUUAUUAAAAACAUGGUUUCUUGUAUUUAUUUAAGAGAUUUGGCCUGCCCACUGAAUAAAUUUUGAAGGGCCGCAGUAUAUUGACUGUGCAAAGGUAGCAUAAUCAUUAGUCUUUUAAUUGAAGGCUGGUAUGAAUGGUUGGAUGAGGUAAAUUCUGUUUUAUAUUAAUUUAUGUUGAAUUUAGAUUUUAAGUAAAAAGACUUAAAUAAUAUUAAGGGACGAGAAGACCCUAUAGAUUUUAAUAAGUGUAUUAAUUAAUUGAGUUAAAGUAUAAUUUUUGAUUAUUAAAAAAUUUAUUUAAUUGGGGUGAUUGGAAGAUAAACUUAACUCUUCUUUAUUUUUAAUAAUAUAAUUAGUUAUUUGAUCCAUAUUUAAUGAUUAAAAGAUUAAAUUACCUUAGGGAUAACAGCAUAAUUCUUUUUGAGAGUUCAUAUUGAGAAAGGAGAUUGUGACCUCGAUGUUGGAUUAAGAUUAGUUUUGGGUGUAGAUGUUCAUUAACUAGGUCUGUUCGACCUUGAAAAUCUUACAUGAUCUGAGUUUAAACCGGCGUGAGCCAGGUUGGUUUCUAUCUUUAAUUAAUUUAAAUAUUUUAGUACGAGAGGACCAAGUAUUUUAAAUAAUUUUUGUUUUAAAAGAAUACUAUUAAUUG
rnacentral:rRNA from 1 species